GGAAUGAGAAUUCUCCACCUUUUGUGAGUUUCUCUAUUCCUCUCUGUGAUUUUUAUGUUGUUCAUAUAUACAUACACCCUAAUCCCCUCUCUCUGUUUCUUUUCCUUUGAAUAUAGCAUGUCACUGAAGCAAUAUGCUUUUUGGUUUUUGUGCUGCUCUUGGAAGCAUUUUCUUGGGAUGCUUUUAGUCUUUGAUUAACCUAAAUAGGGUUCUACACUGUUUGAUGUGUUGUUCUAAAGGUAUUGUAUUUGGUCUUGAUUGAUGCUUUGUUAAUUUUAAGGGAUUUGAUCUAGGGUUUGGCUGGUAAAAUUGAAUUUCUUGAUAAGCAUCAGAAUCUCUUAGUGUUUUGACAUUAUUUUCUAUCCGUGGAAUCUGCAUCAAAUAUACCAAUACCUUAAUAUUUCAACAUUUUUUGGUGAAAGAUAUGAUCAGUUGAUAAAAUUUUAAGAUUUUGAAGAACUAGAUAUCACAAGAAAAUGCAAAGAAAAUCUUUUUAAAAAUCUUUUUAAAAAAUAUUGGGGCUAAGAUUUAAUGAAAGUGCUGCACUUGGAGUUGCACAAAGUAGCUUUAUAAAGAGAACUAUUAUUCUAUGCAAAUCUAAGGUGCCAACUUUAAUGUCACAGGC
rnacentral:misc_RNA from 1 species